rnacentral:rRNA from 1 species
ACUGUUUACCAAAAACAUAGCCCUCGGCUAAUAUGAAAAUAGAUGUAUAGAGGGUGAUGCCUGCCCAAUGGUUGUAUCUAAAAGCGGUUGAUAAAAGUCGACCUCGUAAGGACAAUUGAAUGGCCGCGGUAACACUGACCGUGAUAAUGUAGCGUAAUCAAUAGCCAAUUAAUUGUUGGCCAGUAUGAAUGGCGCCACGAAGGCCCCACUGUCUUAAGGAAAUUCCCAGUGAAAUUGAAUUCGUAGUGAAGAUGCUACGUCCAAUUUGUUAGACGAAAAGACCCCGUUGAGCUUUACUGGAGCACUUAUAUGGCCCCGGCCUUCCCAUGCCUGGGAACCGGCCGAAUUUAAAUGGGCGGCUUAGAUUAUGUGGCAGCCCCCCGCUGGGGCAAAUGAAACACCACUCCCCCAUGUCAAAGGGGCUAACCCCCCCCUUGGGGGGGAC